rnacentral:misc_RNA from 1 species
GAUGAAGAACGCAGCGAAAUGCGAUAAGUAAUGUGAAUUGCAGAAUUCAGUGAAUCAUCGAAUCUUUGAACGCACAUUGCGCCCGCCAGUAUUCUGGCGAGCAUGCCUGUUCGAGCGUCAUUUCAACCAUCAAGCCCCAGGCUUGUGUUGGAGCCCUGCGGCUGCCGCAGCCUCCCAAAACCAGUGGCGGGCUCGCUAUCACACCGAGUGCAGUAGUUUACUCUUCGCUCAGGGCGUAUGGCGGGUGCUAGCCGUGAAACCCCCAACUUCUCAAGGUUGACCUCGGAUCAGGUAGGAAUACCCGCUGAACUUAAGCAUAUCAAUAAGCGGAGGA